rnacentral:rRNA from 1 species
UACAGAGGGGGCAAGCGUUGUUCGGAAUUACUGGGCGUAAAGGGCGCGUAGGCGGCCUGUUAAGUCGAACGUGAAAUCCCCUGGCUCAACCCGGGAACUGCGUCCGAUACUGGCAGGCUUGAAUUCGGGAGAGGGAUGUGGAAUUCCAGGUGUAGCGGUGAAAUGCGUAGAUAUCUGGAGGAACACCGGUGGCGAAGGCGGCAUCCUGGACCGAUAUUGACGCUGAUGCGCGAAAGCCAGGGGAGCAAACGGG